rnacentral:tRNA from 1 species
AGAGGCGUAGUUGUUGGUGAGCACCGGUCUCCAAAACCGGGUGUUGGGGUUCAGUCUCCCGCCCCUGCCA